GGUCACCUACGGGACGCAGCAGUAGGGAAUCUUCCACAAUGGACGAACGUCUGAUGGAGCAACGCCGCGUGAGUGAAGAAGGGUUUCGGCUCGUAAAGCUCUGUUGGUAGUGAAGAAAGAUAGAGGUAGUAACUGGCCUUUAUUUGACGGUAAUUACUUAGAAAGUCACGGCUAACUACGUGCCAGCAGCCGCGGGAAUACGGAGGUGGCAAGCGUUGGCCGGGUUUAUUGGGCGUAAA
rnacentral:rRNA from 1 species